CCAGACUCGUUACAAAUACAAAAUACCAGACUCACUCUGCGGAUCUCGCAGAUCUGAGUAAAGACACCAAACUUUCUCCCUCCUUAAAACCACCCACCCUCCGAUCACCAUUUCUCCCGACUCCCCUUCUCUCACCUUACCCUCAAAACCCACAAAUUCCUCAUUACCAAAUUCUCUUCAAAAGAUUCACUUCGAUUCAACCAUUUCCGCAUUUCUAUCCGGUAAGCAACUAGAAUAAAAUGGAGAAGUCCUGUUCUUUGCUGAUACACUUUGAUAAGGGCACACCAGCUCUUGUCAAUGAGAUCAAGGAAGCCCUCGAAGGGAAUGAUGUUCCUGCCAAGGUUGAUGCCAUGAAGAAGGCCGUCAUGCUUUUGUUGAAUGGCGAAACACUACCCCAGCUAUUUAUUACUAUUAUUAGAUAUGUCUUGCCCUCUGAGGAUCACACGAUUCAAAAGCUGCUGCUUCUGUAUCUGGAGACUAUUGAGAAGACCGAUUCUAAGGGGAGCAUGCUGCCUGAAAUGGUCCUAAUUUGUCAGAACUUGAGGAAUAACUUGCAGCAUCCAAAUGAGUACAUUCGUGGAGUUACUUUGAGAUUCCUUUGUCGGCUGCAUGAGGUUGAUAUAAUUGAACCUUUGAUUCCAUCUAUUAUGAGCAACUUGGAGCACCGGCAUCCGUAUGUGCGGAGAAAUGCAAUUCUUGCUGUCAUGGCUGUUUACAAGCUUCCACAGGGUGAGCAGCUCCUGGCAGAUGCACCAGAGAAGAUUGAGAACGUCCUUACCACGGAGCAGGAUCCAUCUGCUAAAAGGAACGCAUUUCUGAUGCUUUUCCAAUGUGCUCAGGAACAUGCUGUCAAUUAUCUCUUGACCCAUGUUGAUAGAGUAUCUGAUUGGGGUGAGUUACUCCAGAUGGUUGUCUUGGAUUUGGUCCGAAAAGUUUGCAGGACAAACAAAGGGGAGAAAGGGAAGUACAUCAAGAUAAUUAUAUCACUACUUAUUGUCCCUUCUGCUGCUGUUGUGUAUGAAUGUGCUGGGACUCUAGUUUCUUUGUCUUCUGCCCCAACCGCUAUAAGAGCUGCAGCUAAUACCUAUUGUCAACUUCUACAAUCUCAGAGUGACAACAAUGUGAAGCUUAUUGUGCUUGAUAGACUGAAUGAAUUGAAAUCUUCUCAUAGGGAGAUCAUGGUUGAUAUGAUUAUGGAUGUCCUCAGAGCGCUUUCAAGUCCGAACCUUGACAUCAGGAGAAAAACACUUGACAUUGUUCUUGAGUUGAUCACCCCCCGUAAUAUCAAUGAGGUUGUUCUCACGUUGAAGAAAGAAGUUAUGAAAACCCAGAGUGGUGAACUUGAGAAGAAUGGUGAGUACCGUCAAAUGCUUAUCCAAGCCAUUCAUUCGUGUGCUGUUAAGUUUCCGGAAGUCGCAAGUACAGUUGUCCAUCUGUUGAUGGAUUUCUUGGGUGAUAACAAUGUUGCUUCUGCAAUUGAUGUGGUUGUUUUUGUCCGUGAGAUUAUUGAAACAAACCCAAAAUUAAGGGUUUCCAUUGUGACAAGGCUACUGGAUACUUUCUACCAAAUUCGAGCUGCACGUGUUUGUUCAUGUGCCCUUUGGAUCAUUGGAGAGUAUUGUCUAUCUCUUUCUGAAGUUGAGAGUGGCAUUGCAACUAUCAAGCAGUGCCUUGGUGAUCUACCAUUUUAUUCAGUUUCUGAGAAAGGUGAAGCUAAUGAUUCUUCGAAAAAGUCUCAGCAAGUAAACUCCACUACUGUUUCAUCUAGAAGACCUGCUGUCCUUGCUGAUGGGACAUAUGCUACUCAAAGUGCUGCCUCUGAAACUGUUUUUUCACCCGCGACAGUAGUUCAAGGAUCUUUGACCACUGGAAAUCUGAGAUCCCUUCUGCUAACUGGUGAUUUCUUCCUCGGGGCAGUUGUUGCUUGCACCCUGACUAAGCUCAUUUUGAGAUUGGAAGAAGUUCAGCCAUCUAAAGUUGAAGUGAACAAAGCAACAACUAAUGCAUUACUGAUCAUGGUCUCAAUGAUACAGCUAGGGCAGUCUUCAGUUCUUCCACACCCAAUUGAUAACGAUUCCUAUGAUAGGAUAAUUCUGUGCAUAAGAUUGCUCUGUAACACUGGGAAUGAGGUCAGGAAGAUCUGGUUGAACUCUUGCCACGAAAGUUUUGUUACAAUGCUGUCUGAUAAGCAGCUGCGAGAGACAGAAGAGAUAAAAGCAAAGGCUCAAAUUUCUCACUCUCAGCCAGAUGACCUCAUUGAUUUCUACCAUUUGAAGAGUAGGAGGGGCAUGAGCCAGCUGGAGUUGGAAGAUGCAGUCCACGAUGAUUUGAAACGUGCCACUGGAGAAUUUGUCAAGGAUGAGAAUGAUGCUAAUAGACUAAAUCGGGUUCUGCAACUCACGGGAUUUAGUGAUCCUGUUUAUGCUGAAGCAUACGUGACAGUUCAUCAUUAUGAUAUUGUCCUGGAUGUGACAGUUAUUAAUAGAACUAAAGAGACCCUCCAGAAUUUAUGUUUGGAAUUGGCAACAAUGGGUGAUCUCAAACUAGUUGAGCGUCCACAGAAUUAUACUCUUGCUCCUGAGUCAAGCAAACAGAUAAAAGCAAACAUCAAGGUGUCUUCAACUGAGACGGGCGUAAUUUUUGGGAACAUUGUUUAUGAGAGUUCUAAUGUGCUUGAGCGGACAGUGGUUGUGCUAAACGAUAUCCAUAUUGACAUCAUGGAUUACAUCUCUCCUGCAGUGUGCAGUGAUGCUGCUUUUAGAACCAUGUGGGCAGAAUUUGAGUGGGAAAACAAGGUUGCUGUCAACACUGUCAUUCAGGAGGAAAAAGAAUUCCUUGACCAUAUAAUCAAAUCAACCAACAUGAAAUGCCUUACUGCACUGUCUGCUUUGGAAGGGCAAUGCGGGUUCCUUGCUGCUAACUUGUAUGCAAAGAGUGUGUUUGGUGAGGAUGCUUUGGUGAAUGUAAGCAUUGAGAAACAAGCAGAUGGUAAGCUGAGUGGUUAUAUUAGGAUAAGGAGCAAAACGCAAGGAAUUGCGCUUAGCUUGGGGGACAAGAUAACACUCAAGCAGAAGGGAGGCACUUGAUCAGGCCAACGGAAUUUAGUAUGACCUGGAUAUGCCGAAAACCUUAUUGGUAGUGGGUUCUCUGUCUUUUUAGCAUGUGCUAGCUAAAGGGUAUUUGCGGUUGAAUUCGUCGUUUUGCUGGUUGGCUGUGGGAAGGCAAAUGGUAUUUGGAGGAAUAGACAAGGCAUGAUUUUCUUCUUGAUGAAGUAUAGAACGGGGUUGUCUUUCCAUUGAGCCGGGGAGACAAUCCAAAUCGUAGUCAGUGUCCAUUAUUUGAUUGAGCAUGAUGUGGUCUGCUAGUCGAUUUAAACCAUCCAAAAGAGUACUGUCAGCCCCCAAAAGUGUUUUCCUUCUUGCGGAAAGAAGAUGUUUAGUUUUUUUGUCUAUCUCCUUUACCUAUCAUAUGAUUGUUACACUUGAAUUUGAGGCUCCUCCAAAUCCCCAUUUUGCAGCUUGGUGGAGUGCUGGGGUUAUUGAGAGAACAUGUAGAGAUUAUAAUACUGCACUUAUUCUUAGGUUCGGAUAUAAAGAUUCAAGUAUUUUAUUUUCUGUGAGGACAGUUUUUGUAGAGAAUGAUUUGAAGAAAUAUUGCAUUAUUUUUGACAUGUUUUGAAGCGGAAGUUUCUUCUGAAGUUCAUUCAAUCUCUCUGUUGAACUGAUUCAAAGGUCUGUUUGUCCUGUU